rnacentral:rRNA from 1 species
AGUGAACGCUGGCGGCGUGCCUAACACAUGCAAGUCGAACGAUGAUGGAGGAGCUUGCUCUUCCUGAUUAGUGGCGCACGGGUGAGUAUACCAUAGAUAAUGUGCCCCUUAGUUCGGGAUAGCCACUGGAAACGGUGAUUAAUACCGGAUACUCCUUCUUGCCAUAAGGUAAGUCGGGAAAGUUUUUUCGCUAAGGGAUCAGUCUAUGUCCUAUCAGGUAGUUGGUGAGGUAACGGCUCACCAAGCCUAUGACGGGUAUCUGGUUUGAGAGGAUGAUCAGACACACUGGAACUGAGACACGGUCCAGACUCCUACGGGAGGCAGCAGUGAGGAAUAUUGCACAAUGGAGGAAACUCUGAUGCAGCAACGCCGCGUGGAGGAUGACGCAUUUCGGCGUGUAAACUCCUUUUAAGAGGGAAGAUUAUGACGGUACCUCUUGAAUAAGCACCGGCUAACUCCGUGCCAGCAGCCGCCGUAA